CCUCCCUUCGCACCCCCAGGGUGCUGCACCCAAGGGUGCCCCCCCUCGGUUGGGUGACGGUGCUAACACCCCCUUUUUUUUUUUUUUUUGUGUGUUCCCCCCCAAAAAAAUAAAAAUUAAAGCCUUCCUCGAUGGCUUCACGGAGGCGGAGGAGGAAGAUCUCAACAACCUCUGGGCGACGGCCUCGACCUUCAUCGUCCUCUUCAUCCUCAGCCUCUUCUACAGCGCCACGGUCACCUUGAUCAAGGUGAAAUAACUCCGCUCCCGCCGCGUUUCUUCCCUUCGCCGCCGGACGCUGCUGGAAUUUUUUCGGGAUUCUCCGCCCCCACUUGUGUUUCCUCCUCCUCGUUGUAAAUAUUCUCCAGCCCCACAAUAAAAAUUUUCCC